rnacentral:rRNA from 1 species
CCUACGGGAGGCAGCAGUGAGGAAUAUUGGUCAAUGGGCGUAAGCCUGAACCAGCCAAGUCGCGUGAGGGAUGAAGGUUCUAUGGAUCGUAAACCUCUUUUAUCAGGGAAUAAAGUGUGGGACGUGUCCUGUUUUGUAUGUACCUUAUGAAUAAGGAUCGGCUAACUCCGUGCCAGCAGCCGCGGUAAUACGGAGGAUCCGAGCGUUAUCCGGAUUUAUUGGGUUUAAAGGGUGCGUAGGCGGCCUUUUAAGUCAGCGGUGAAAGUCUGUGGCUCAACCAUAGAAUUGCCGUUGAAACUGGCAUGCUUGAGUAUGUUUGAGGCAGGCGGAAUGCGUGGUGUAGCGGUGAAAUGCUUAGAUAUCACGCAGAACCCCGAUUGCGAAGGCAGCCUGCCAAGCCAUGACUGACGCUGAUGCACGAAAGCGUGGGGAUCAAACAGGAUUAGAUACCCCAGUAGUC